rnacentral:rRNA from 1 species
AUUGAACGCUGGCGGCAGGCCUAACACAUGCAAGUCGAACGAGUGGCGGACGGGUGAGUAAUGUAUGGGAAACUGCCCGGUGGAGGGGGAUAACUACUGGAAACGGUAGCUAAUACCGCAUACCAUCGGAUGUGCCCAGAUGGGAUUAGCUAGUAGGUGGGGUAACGGCUCACCUAGGCGACGAUCCCUAGCUGGUCUGAGAGGAUGACCAGCCAAACGGGAACUGAGACACGGUCCCGACUCCUCCGGGAGGCAGCAGUGGGGAAUAUGGCACAAUGGGCGCAAGCCUGAUGCAGCCAUGCCGCGUGUAUGAAGAAGGCCUUCGGGUUGUAAACUACUGUCAGCGAGGAGGCUGUCCGCGCAGAAGCAGCACCAGCUAACCCCGUGCCAGCAGCCGCGGUAAUAC